UUACAGCCAUAUCACGUUGAAACACCAGUUCUCAUAUGAUCACUAAAGUUAAGCAACAUCAAACUUGAUUAGUACCUAGAUGGGUGACUGCUUGGGAAUACCAGGUGCUGUAAG